rnacentral:rRNA from 11 species
UUGAAGCUGCUCAAACACCCUCAAGACAUCAGAUUCCGUCUGAUCUUGGAAGCUAAGCAGGGUUAGACCUAAUAGUAAUGGAUGGGAGACCACCAACAAAAACCAGGUUACAUUUCAGU